rnacentral:rRNA from 1 species
CCCUUAGAUGUUCUGGGCCGCACGCGCGCUACAAUGAUGAAUUCAACGAGUUUAUAACCUUGGUUGAAAAGCCUGGGUAAUCUUUUGAACUUUCGUCGUGAUGGGGCUAGACCCUUGCAAUUAUUAAUCUCCAACGAGGAAUUCCUAGUAAACGCAAGUCAUCAGCUUGCAUUGAUUACGUCCCUGCCCUUUGUACACACCGCCCGUCGCACCUACCGAUUGAAUGGUCCGGUGAAAUCUUGGGAUUUUGUUUUGUUUGCAUUUAUUUGUAUCGAGACGAGAGAACUUGAGUAAACCUUACCAUUUAGAGGAAGGUGAAGUCGUAACA